rnacentral:rRNA from 1 species
UACAGAGGGGGCAAGCGUUAUUCGGAAUUAUUGGGCGUAAAGGGCGCGUAGGCGGCCAUUCAAGUGACGGGUGAAAGCCCUCGGCUUAACCGAGGAACUGCCUGUCAGACUGGAUGGCUUGAGACCGGGAGAGGUGAGUGGAAUUCCCAGUGUAGCGGUGAAAUGCGUAGAUAUUGGGAGGAACACCAGUGGCGAAGGCGGCUCACUGGACCGGAACUGACGCUGAGGCGCGAAAGCGUGGGGAGCAAACAGGAUUAGAUCCCUGGUAGUCC